AACGGCCAUACCAUGCUGAAUAUACCGGUUCUCGUUAGGUCACCGAAGUCAAGCAUCAUUGGGCGCGGUCAGUACUUGGGUGGGUGACCACCUGGGAACACCGUGUGCCG
rnacentral:rRNA from 1 species